rnacentral:rRNA from 1 species
CUACGGGAGGCAGCAGUGGGGAAUAUUGGACAAUGGGGGCAACCCUGAUCCAGCCAUGCCGCGUGUGUGAAGAAGGCCCUCGGGUUGUAAAGCACUUUCAGCGAGGAAGAACGCCUAGCGGUUAAUACCCGCUAGGAAAGACAUCACUCGCAGAAGAAGCACCGGCUAACUCCGUGCCAGCAGCCGCGGUAAUACGGAGGGUGCAAGCGUUAAUCGGAAUUACUGGGCGUAAAGCGCGCGUAGGUGGCUUGAUAAGCCGGUUGUGAAAGCCCCGGGCUCAACCUGGGAACGGCAUCCGGAACUGUCAAGCUAGAGUGCAGGAGAGGAAGGUAGAAUUCCCGAUGUAGCGGUGAAAUGCGUAGAGAUCGGGAGGAAUACCAGUGGCGAAGGCGGCCUUCUGGACUGACACUGACACUGAGGUGCGAAAGCGUGGGUAGCAAACAGGAUUAGAUACCCUGGUAGUCCACGCCGUAAACGAUGUCGACCAGCCGUUGGGUGCCUAGCGCACUUUGUGGCGAAGUUAACGCGAUAAGUCGACCGCCUGGGGAGUACGGCCGCAAGGUUAAAACUCAAAUGAAUUGACGGA